GGGUUGUGAGGUUAAGCGACUAAGCGUACACGGUGGAUGCCCUGGCAGUCAGAGGCGAUGAAGGACGUGCUAAUCUGCGAUAAGCGUCGGUAAGGUGAUAUGAACCGUUAUAACCGGCGAUUUCCGAAUGGGGAAACCCAGUGUGAUUCGUCACACUAUCAUUAACUGAAUCCAUAGGUUAAUGAGGCGAACCGGGGGAACUGAAACAUCUAAGUACCCCGAGGAAAAGAAAUCAACCGAGAUUCCCCCAGUAGCGGCGAGCGAACGGGGAGCAGCCCAGAGCCUGAAUCAGUGUGUGUGUUAGUGGAAGCGUCUGGAAAGGCGUGCGAUACAGGGUGACAGCCCCGUACACAAAAAUGCACAUAUUGUGAGCUCGAUGAGUAGGGCGGGACACGUGGUAUCCUGUCUGAAUAUGGGGGGACCAUCCUCCAAGGCUAAAUACUCCUGACUGACCGAUAGUGAACCAGUACCGUGAGGGAAAGGCGAAAAGAACCCCGGCGAGGGGAGUGAAAAAGAACCUGAAACCGUGUACGUACAAGCAGUGGGAGCACAGAGCAAUCUGUGUGACUGCGUACCUUUUGUAUAAUGGGUCAGCGACUUAUAUUCUGUAGCAAGGUUAACCGAAUAGGGGAGCCGAAGGGAAACCGAGUCUUAACUGGGCGUUAAGUUGCAGGGUAUAGACCCGAAACCCGGUGAUCUAGCCAUGGGCAGGUUGAAGGUUGGGUAACACUAACUGGAGGACCGAACCGACUAAUGUUGAAAAAUUAGCGGAUGACUUGUGGCUGGGGGUGAAAGGCCAAUCAAACCGGGAGAUAGCUGGUUCUCCCCGAAAGCUAUUUAGGUAGCGCCUCGUGAAUUCAUCUCCGGGGGUAGAGCACUGUUUCGGCAAGGGGGUCAUCCCGACUUACCAACCCGAUGCAAACUGCGAAUACCGGAGAAUGUUAUCACGGGAGACACACGGCGGGUGCUAACGUCCGUCGUGAAGAGGGAAACAACCCAGACCGCCAGCUAAGGUCCCAAAGUCAUGGUUAAGUGGGAAACGAUGUGGGAAGGCCCAGACAGCCAGGAUGUUGGCUUAGAAGCAGCCAUCAUUUAAAGAAAGCGUAAUAGCUCACUGGUCGAGUCGGCCUGCGCGGAAGAUGUAACGGGGCUAAACCAUGCACCGAAGCUGCGGCAGCGACGCUUAUGCGUUGUUGGGUAGGGGAGCGUUCUGUAAGCCUGCGAAGGUGUGCUGUGAGGCAUGCUGGAGGUAUCAGAAGUGCGAAUGCUGACAUAAGUAACGAUAAAGCGGGUGAAAAGCCCGCUCGCCGGAAGACCAAGGGUUCCUGUCCAACGUUAAUCGGGGCAGGGUGAGUCGACCCCUAAGGCGAGGCCGAAAGGCGUAGUCGAUGGGAAACAGGUUAAUAUUCCUGUACUUGGUGUUACUGCGAAGGGGGGACGGAGAAGGCUAUGUUGGCCGGGCGACGGUUGUCCCGGUUUAAGCGUGUAGGCUGGUUUUCCAGGCAAAUCCGGAAAACUAAGGCUGAGGCGUGAUGACGAGGCACUACGGUGCUGAAGCAACAAAUGCCCUGCUUCCAGGAAAAGCCUCUAAGCAUCAGGUAACAUCAAAUCGUACCCCAAACCGACACAGGUGGUCAGGUAGAGAAUACCAAGGCGCUUGAGAGAACUCGGGUGAAGGAACUAGGCAAAAUGGUGCCGUAACUUCGGGAGAAGGCACGCUGAUAUGUAGGUGAAGCGACUUGCUCGUGGAGCUGAAAUCAGUCGAAGAUACCAGCUGGCUGCAACUGUUUAUUAAAAACACAGCACUGUGCAAACACGAAAGUGGACGUAUACGGUGUGACGCCUGCCCGGUGCCGGAAGGUUAAUUGAUGGGGUUAGCGCAAGCGAAGCUCUUGAUCGAAGCCCCGGUAAACGGCGGCCGUAACUAUAACGGUCCUAAGGUAGCGAAAUUCCUUGUCGGGUAAGUUCCGACCUGCACGAAUGGCGUAAUGAUGGCCAGGCUGUCUCCACCCGAGACUCAGUGAAAUUGAACUCGCUGUGAAGAUGCAGUGUACCCGCGGCAAGACGGAAAGACCCCGUGAACCUUUACUAUAGCUUGACACUGAACAUUGAGCCUUGAUGUGUAGGAUAGGUGGGAGGCUUUGAAGUGUGGACGCCAGUCUGCAUGGAGCCGACCUUGAAAUACCACCCUUUAAUGUUUGAUGUUCUAACGUUGACCCGUGAUCCGGGUUGCGGACAGUGUCUGGUGGGUAGUUUGACUGGGGCGGUCUCCUCCUAAAGAGUAACGGAGGAGCACGAAGGUUGGCUAAUCCUGGUCGGACAUCAGGAGGUUAGUGCAAUGGCAUAAGCCAGCUUGACUGCGAGCGUGACGGCGCGAGCAGGUGCGAAAGCAGGUCAUAGUGAUCCGGUGGUUCUGAAUGGAAGGGCCAUCGCUCAACGGAUAAAAGGUACUCCGGGGAUAACAGGCUGAUACCGCCCAAGAGUUCAUAUCGACGGCGGUGUUUGGCACCUCGAUGUCGGCUCAUCACAUCCUGGGGCUGAAGUAGGUCCCAAGGGUAUGGCUGUUCGCCAUUUAAAGUGGUACGCGAGCUGGGUUUAGAACGUCGUGAGACAGUUCGGUCCCUAUCUGCCGUGGGCGCUGGAGAACUGAGGGGGGCUGCUCCUAGUACGAGAGGACCGGAGUGGACGCAUCACUGGUGUUCGGGUUGUCAUGCCAAUGGCACUGCCCGGUAGCUAAAUGCGGAAGAGAUAAGUGCUGAAAGCAUCUAAGCACGAAACUUGCCCCGAGAUGAGUUCUCCCUGACUCCUUGAGAGUCCUGAAGGAACGUUGAAGACGACGACGUUGAUAGGCCGGGUGUGUAAGCGCAGCGAUGCGUUGAGCUAACCGGUACUAAUGAACCGUGAGGCUUAACCUUACAACGCCGAAGCUGUU
rnacentral:rRNA from 1 species